rnacentral:pre_miRNA from 1 species
CAACCUAAUGCACUUUGUGAUGUGCUUUUGAAUUGGAGUCGUAUCACAGUGGAUUUGGUUUAU